AGAAUCAACGCUGGCGGCGUGCCUAACACAUGCAAGUCGAACGAGAAAGUGGAGCAAUCCAUGAGUAAAGUGGCGCACGGGUGAGUAACACGUGACUAACCUACCCUGGAGUGGGGAAUAACUGAGGGAAACCUUAGCUAAUACCGCAUAACACCUACGGGUCAAAGGAGCAAUUCGCUUCAGGAGGGGGUCGCGGCAGAUUAGCUAGUUGGCGGGGUAAUGGCCCACCAAGGCAGUGAUCUGUA
rnacentral:rRNA from 1 species